rnacentral:rRNA from 1 species
GAUGAACGCUGGCGGCGUGCCUAAUACAUGCAAGUCGAGCGAACAGACGAGGAGCUUGCUCCUUUGACGUUAGCGGCGGACGGGUGAGUAACACGUAGGUAACCUACCUAUAAGACUGGGAUAACUUCGGGAAACCGGAGCUAAUACCGGAUAAUAUUUCGAACCGCAUGGUUCGAUAGUGAAAGAUGGCUUUGCUAUCACUUAUAGAUGGACCUGCGCCGUAUUAGCUAGUUGGUAAGGUAACGGCUUACCAAGGCAACGAUACGUAGCCGACCUGAGAGGGUGAUCGGCCACACUGGAACUGAGACACGGUCCAGACUCCUACGGGAGGCAGCAGUAGGGAAGCUUCCGCAAUGGGCGAAAGCCUGACGGAGCAACGCCGCGUGAGUGAUGAAGGUCUUCGGAUCGUAAAACUCUGUUAUUAGGGAAGAACAAACGUGUAAGUAACGGUGCACGUCUUGACGGUACCUAAUCAGAAAGCCACGGCUAACUACGU